AGUCUUGAAGUAUAAUUACGUUAGAUUGCAAAUCUAAAGAAGCGGGGUAAGCCCCCGCCGGACUUU
rnacentral:tRNA from 1 species